CUGCACAUAGCAGAGGGGUUGAAACCUCUCUGAUCAUUGUGGUUCUUUUCAACCCAUGUCAUUCUAUGAUUCUUACUAAGUGUAAUAUUUCAAAGUUCUGUUAAUUUGUUCCUUUUACUGCACAAUUCUGUGGUGCUGUUUCAUAUCUUUAGAAUUUUGGUAAUGCAACGUACAUUUCCUACGUCCUUGAAGCCCCAGGGGAUCAUACUUUCUCUCCCAGACAAUCAGCUAACAGCUUAAUUGUCACAAUCAGGAGGAAAUAGCAGAUUUAUUUUAGAUACACACUUCAGAUAACAACAUAUAGACUCCCUUGUGCAGCAGUUAUAAGGAAAGCAGCAAAUGUAAGAAAAUAAAUGCAUCCAAGAACAAUGUUUAAGCAAAAUCUUAGUAAGGUAGGUGGAACAGUUGACAACAAGCUCUUAGAGCUGAUGGAAUAGGCUGGAAGGACUGGGUCUUCCUUCUGUUACCCUUGUGAAGGUAAUGGAACUGAAUAUAUAUGUCCAUGCUUGCACUGUAGCAGCUUUUGCUUUUAUCCAACGCAUCAGUAAAAUGCAUGAUACAUUCAAAACAAAGUUCAACACUGGCCAAAAGAUGUAAAAUUUUAUUGGCCAAAAGGAAAGUACCCCUUGGUGGACUGUAUUAAGAAUUCCGAAGGUAUUCUGUUUUCUUGUAGUAAGAAACAUGUCAGAAAACUGUUUCUGAUUCAGGUGGCUUUUGUUGUGUUGUUCAAGUAAGGAGCUCCUGGCAAUGUAUGCUUACAGUUUCUGUUAGCAAAGAUGGUUUCGAAGAAAACAGGCAAAAGGAAAAUUGUCAAAUAACAAACUGGAAUUCCACAAAAACUCUGCAGUGGCUGUAGCAGUACAAACAGGAAAUGUUGGGGGCUGUGAUUUAAGUUUCAUAUCUGAGGACAGAAAAAUGUAAGAUCAAGUUAAUGCUGAGAAACGAAUGCCAAAUUUGCAUUGUUUGAUGUUUGCUUAUUAAGCAAAGUCAGUUGUUUCAAUUUUUAUAAAUCAAAUCAUUCUAGAAAGAAUGAAAAUGGAGCCUUACGAAUGCAAAUUUAUUAAUUAAUUUUUUGCUCAAUUGUCAGAACUAAGCAUGAACUUCCUUCAGUUGUCUCAGUCCCUGACAAUAUUGCUACUGAUACCAGUUAUUUCUUUAACUCAAAGUCAAUAUUUGAGGUGGUUUCCUUUUUUUAGGGGGGAAGAGGGAAAGAGGAGAGGCCAAGAAUUUUUGUUUUACUACAAAUCCUUUUUUUUUUUUUUAAACAAGGAUGAAAACCUAGAGUUUGCAUUCAGUGAAAAGAACACUGCAAUUUUAUUUGAUUCUACACCAACUAGCUAUAUUCUGCAACUUUAUAGUUUUGUCACCAGAAUUUUAGUCACCAGUAAUUCAUAUAUGUACAUUAGUUUAUUGCUGAAAAUGGAUUCUUGGAUGACAAAAUGAUAUGAAGAAAUGAGCAUUCAUUCAGUCCAAAUACAUAAGCUUCGGAAGAGACAGGAAGAUCUGCAUGCAUUUCUGGCUCAUGCAGUCAAAAUUCAUGAUAGGAAACAGAUGCUAAAGAGAAACCAGCACUUGCCAGAUUACAUGUGCUUUUUAAAAACUUGGUAUUUUAUUGCAUUUAUUUCACAUACUGUACUCAUUACCAAUCUUGUGAAGAAAUUCAGCCCUUUGUAAAUAUUCAGUGAAAAAGAUGAAGAGUAUGGAGGGAAUCUGUACUAGUGAAACAGUGAUGCAAAGAUUGGGUAUGUGGAAAGAAAAGAAUCUAUUUUUAAAGAACAGAAUUACUGGUGGAUGAUGAAUUCAGUGAAAGUCAGCUAGAACCUUUGUACACCAAGAAUUGAACAUCAGUUCCAUAACUAGAGAAUAUUUUACUUAAAAGGUUGUAUGGAAGAGGCACUCCAGUAACAUGGUGUUACUUGUCCAGCAGGAGUCACCACUAACAGUACUGAUCGACAGAUUUUGUAUUUCAUGCAUAUUAGAAAGAACAUUAGAAAAACAGCUUUGUGAUGCAGGAGUCAUUACAUCAGUAGUAAGAUGAAUGUACUCUACAGUGUAGUCAUCUUUUGGACUAGCUUAGAUAUAGCUAAAUACUUCUGUUAGCCUUUAUACAGUUUCAGAUGUUCUUUGAUCAAUGUGUGAUAUCAAUUACCUCCCAUAUCAUCCCUUCCUGUUUUCUUCACUAUUAAAAAUCCUUCUAAAUUUCCCUUCUAAAUGAGUGGGUUUCAUCCUUGAAGGCAGCUUCUGCAACAGAGUUCAAGACAACUUUCAGUAAGUCACAAGGUAAGGUAUAGGAUGUUUAGAUGCCAGCACUGUGUUGUCUUUCUCGUUUCCCCUGUGUAUCACAGGCUGAUGUCUGUGCGUUCUUCAGCUCAGUAGAGCUGCUGUUUAUUUUCUAAUGGGCAAUGAGAGAAAGUAAGCCAUGAGGAUAAGAGUAACAGAGUCUGCUGAAUGAGUUUCCUUCAAUGUCUCCCUCUGAAUUUGCUAACCCUUAUGGCUGGAGGCUGUCCAGCUUUUUGUCUGCAGCACUUCUGUACCCGCAGGAUACUCAGAACAACUGAAUCCUCGGCUAGUAUCAUUCCAAUAUCACCCUCAGUAACUGCCCUUCACUCUCUUAUUCUCCAUGUUCCUAGUAUUGUUGCUGUUACCAGCAGGUCAACUAACAUCAGAAAUCUGAAAGGUAAGGGAGGUGGUGUAAGGGUCCACAAGGCAGGGGAAGGAGAAGCAGCCGUCCUUCUAAGGGAAGGAUGUUAGUAUCAGCAAGGUUUUCUGACGUAAAAGGUUCCAGCAGAAGGACAUAUGUGGAAUAACAAAGCUCAGCAAAAGCCAACUAACUCAAGAAGGUGACAGCAAGGAAUUCUGCGUCUAAGAAAUGCUGCAAUCAGGAUUCAGCUUUUAUAGGCUCUCAGAAAAGGAGAGAUGCUCUUGUAUCCACGUUGGGCUGAGGAUGACCUAGACUGAAAUUCCCAAAUUGUAACACGCGCUGAAGCAAAGCUCUGCGUAGAUAAUUCCUGAGUAGCACACUGUCCUGGCUGAUACUGAAGGCUGUUGAUACAGCAACUUCUGCUACUGCUACCUACAGUGGCUGCAGUGGGUAGUGAGCAAGAUGGAUUUGGGAACCACCGAUCUGGAUGUGUUUACUUCAACUGCUGACUGAGGUAAUGUGUUCAACUUCAAUUUAGUUGAAGAAGAACAAGAGAAUACUAAUGAGCAUGAAGAAUAUAUAGAAGUUAAUGAAAGCAACAUA